AUCGCUUCUCGGCCUUUUGGCUAAGAUCAAGUGUAAGAUAUUAGUAAACUGAACAUAGCACAGUAUAUUUUUUAAAAUACAUGGUAACCAAU
rnacentral:sRNA from 1 species